CUUCGUCAUCCUCCAGCCAUUAGGAUCUGGUAAAACAUAAACAUUCAGCUUUAUGACGCGAGUGAUAAUUUCUGUCAUUACAAUUUUACAACGGAGGGACUUAAUUUAUAUAAGCUGAUGCCCUUUCCGUGUUGACUAAAUGGGCAGUGAUGAUGGUGGUAGUGAUGGUGGUGGUGGUGGUGGUGGUAUAUUUACUGAGAGAGCGAGUGAGUGAAAUUAAGCACCAAGCAAGCCAAGCCAUACGGUUUUAUGUGAUGAGAGUAAAGAGAAUGGCGAACAAUUACGAGCGUGACGUGGCAGACUUAAGUGGUAGUGGUAAACGGGCAGGAGGGAAUGGGUGGUUACAGUGUACAGUAAGGAAUGAUCAGGGAAAGCGUUUGUUUGUCUGAUAUUGAUGAGAGUUAGGCCUGUGGUGGUUCACGAGGAAAGGUUUAUUGGCACCGGUUUGCAAAUAACUAUCGUAUACUUUUUUUUUCUGCCACAUUUUCUUUCCUUUCAGUAUUCUCUCUCUCUCUCUCUCUCUCUCUCUCUCUCUCUCUCUCUCUCUCUCUCUCUCUCUCUCUCUGCGUGCGUGUGUGUGUAUUGCAAGGGAUGUGUUACAAGAAUGGCGGUGUUCACACAUGUACUCACGCUCUGCAUCAUGGGAGGCCGCUUCGUGGGUCGCCUGGGAAAGCACGACCUGAACCCCAGGCAUCUCUUAUCUACCAUCCAGGAUUCCAUCGCAGGACCUGGCACGUCGCUUCUUUUCUUGUGGCGCUGGUACAGAAUUCCUGGUAGCGAUGGACCUGAAGAAAGCGUUGGCGAGUCGUCCAUCCACAAGGCAGUUCAGUAUUUCUUGCAGGCGAGUCAUGUUGUGUUGUGGCGUCGUGAAGAGUCCCGCCCAUCUCCACCUCAGAGGACAGGUCACAGCAAAAAGGAUCCCUGCCAUAUGAUACUCGCCUGCCAAAUGCAGAGACGAGAGAAGGAGCCACUCAGCCGCUUCACAACACACAAGACUAUAAAAAACGCACUCGACCUGAGCUCCUUACCUGCGUACAAGUGGCGGAUCUUUACAGUCACCAGCGCGCCGGGAAAGGUACACGCGUCCCACACAGGUGCUGGUGGCCCGUCUUGGCACUCUGGUGACGUUUACUUGCUCUGCGCCUGGAGGAGACAACGAAAAUAUUUUGUAAUAGAAAACUAAAAUCCUUGUCCUGCAGUGAAAUUAUAAAGAUUGGUGGUGUUUUUGUUUUUAACUUAAGAUUAUCGUGGAAUUUUAUAGCUUUGUGUCUCUUCCAACAAAGUAAUAAUAACUACAAAUCAAAAAACAUUAUAAUUUUCAAUUCAUUGCUGUUGAUCAUUUCUUUAUGGAAUUACAGAAACGAUAUGUAAUGUUCCUGAGAUAAACUGUUAUUUUAUAAAAAGAACAAAAGUGCUGCCAGCUGUGUAAUAAUGUGAAAGAGAGACACUUGUUUGUUAAUGUAAUUUGUACGUUCG